rnacentral:rRNA from 1 species
CCUACGGGAGGCAGCAGCAGGGAAUCUUGGGCAAUGGGCGAAAGCCUGACCCAGCGACGCCGCGUGGAGGAAGAAGUCCUUCGGGGCGUAAACUCCUGGACUGGGGGACGAGGAAGGACGGUACCCCAGUAGAAAGGAACGGCUAACUACGUGCCAGCAGCCGCGGUAAU